rnacentral:RNase_P_RNA from 1 species
UGAGUCGGCUAGGCAGUCGCGGCGCAUCACUCUCUGGCCAUCGCUGGCGUUGGCAGGGGAGCUGCGUCGAGGAAAGUCCGGGCUCCACAGGGCAGAGUGCCAGGUAACGCCUGGGGGGCGUAAGUCCACGGAAAGUGCAGCAGAGAGUAGACCGCCGAUGGCCAUUGCGGCACAGGUAAGGGUGAAAGGGUGCGGUAAGAGCGCACCGCGCGGCUGGUAACAGUUCGCGGCACGGCAAACCCCACUCGGAGCAAGAUCAAAUAGGUCUCCUAUGGCGCGGCCCGCGCUGGAGACGGGUAGAUUGCUUGAGGCAGUUGGCGACAGCUGACCCAGAUGAAUGACUGUCCACGACAGAACCCGGCUUAUCGGCCGACUCACUCU